CCUUCUGAUGAUGGAGGCUUAACUGAUGGGGUGAAGACAAAUGACUUUCUCAGCAAUCGUGUCUAAAUGGAAGAAUUCUUCACCCUGUGAGCUCAGGGGUUUUCUCUUUUGCUGUGUGACCACCAGAUGGCCAAAAAGAUGUAUUUGACUAUGCUGUGCCCCACCUCAAGCCAAAAGAAGAGGCAGGCUGCUUCCCCCUUCACCAUUUGAAAUGUGAAAAAA
rnacentral:lncRNA from 1 species